CACACAAACAUCAUUAUACCAUUAAACAAACCAUUUGACCAACUAAGUAGAGGCGAUCGAACAGUCACAACAUAUCUUAAAAGUACCGCAAGGGAAUCGCACUAAAGCAAAAAAUAGCAAAGAUAAACUCUUGUACCUUUAGCAUCAUGGUUUAGCAAGAUACCCAAGGCAAGAAGAAUCACAGUCUACAAUCCCGAAACCAGAUGAGCUACCUUCGAGCAGCCUAAUGGGCAAACCCUUCUCUGUAGCAAAAGAGUGGGAAGACUUAAAGGUAGAGGCGAAACACCUACCGAAUCUGGAGAUAGCUGGCUACCCAAAAAGGAAUAUAAGUUCCACUUUAGAUCUAAAGACAAAUUCAUAUUAAACUAAAGAAACUCAAUAGGGGUACAGCUCUAUUGAAACAGGAUACAACCUGUAUUUGAGAGCACAUCCCCUAACUACUACCCGUAGGCUUUAAAGCAGCCAACUAAUAAAAUAUCGUUAAAGAAUUUAACAAAAAAAUACAAAAACCACCCUUAAACUCCAAAUAUACUAAAGGUAAUCCUAUUUACUAUAGGAAAUAUUCUGCUAAAACUAAUAAUAAGACACCCUCUCUAUACGCGCCUUUCCACUAGAACAGAAAAUCUACUAGCCAUCAACAGACCAAACCAGGACAAAUGAAACCCAAUACAUAUCCAACUCCCACUGUAAAUCCAACACAGGUGCGUUAAAAAGAAAGAUAAAAUACUAAAAAAGGAACUCGGCAACCAAAGACCCCAACUGUUUAACAAAAACAUAACCUUUAGACAUUAACUAAUAUUAAAGGCAACGCCUGCCCAGUGAAUAAUUAAACGGCCGCGGUACCCUAACCGUGCAAAGGUAGCAUAAUCACUUGCCUAUUAAUUGUAGGCCUGUACGAAAGGCAUCAUGAGGGCCUAACUGUCUCUUUUAGUAAAUCAAUUAAACUGAUCUCCCAGUCAAAAAGCUGGGAUAGUAACAUAAGACCAGAAGACCCUGUGAAGCUUUAAUUAGACUAUUAAAUCCUAUAAUAACUACUUUAGGUUGGGGCGACCUUGGAAAAAAAAAGAACUUCCAUAAUACUUUAUAUUUUUAUAUAAACUAAGACCAACGAGUCUACAACGACCCAGCACAGCUGAUAAUUGAACCAAGUUACUCCAGGGAUAACAGCGCUAUCUUCUUCAAGAGCCCAUAUCAAAAAGAAGGUUUACGACCUCGAUGUUGGAUCAGGACACCCCAAUGGUGCAGCCGCUAUUAAAGGUUCGUUUGUUCAACGAUUAAUAGUCCUACGUGAUCU
rnacentral:rRNA from 1 species